UCCGUAGCAGAAACCCGGAAUCACUGGGCGUAAAGGGAGCGUAGGUGGCCUAACAUGUCAACUGUGAAAACCCGGAGCUCAACUCCGGACUUGCAGUUGAAACUGGUAGGCUUGAGGACGGUAGAGGAAGACGGAACUGCCAGUGUAGGGGUAAAAUCCUUAGAUAUUGGCAGGAACGCCGGUGACGAAGGUGGUUUUCUGGGCCGGUUCUGACACUGAUGCUCGAAAGCCAGGGGAGCGAACGGG
rnacentral:rRNA from 1 species